rnacentral:rRNA from 1 species
UGAACGCUAGCGAUAGGCUUAACACAUGCAAGUCGAGGGGCAGCACAAGGUAGCUUGCUAUCUGGGUGGCGACCGGCGCACGGGUGCGUAACGCGUAUGCAACUUGCCCUAUACAGGAGGAUAACCCGUCGAAAGACGGACUAAUACUGCGUAUGCUCACAACUUGGCAUCAAGUGGUGAGGAAAGGAAUUCGGUAUAGGAUAGGCAUGCGUCCCAUUAGCUUGUUGGUGAGGUAACGGCUCACCAAGGCAACGAUGGGUAGGGGAACUGAGAGGUUUAUCCCCCACACUGGUACUGAGACACGGACCAGACUCCUACGGGAGGCAGCAGUGAGGAAUAUUGGUCAAUGGGCGCGAGCCUGAACCAGCCAAGCCGCGCGAAGGAUGACUGUCUUAUGGAUUGUAAACUUCUUUUAUACGGGAAUAACAAGAGUCACGGGUGACUCCCUGCAUGUACCGUAUGAAUAAGCAUCGGCUAACUCCGUG